AAUUCUCGCAUGAGCGGCAGGCCUAACACAUGCCAGUCGACAGGAUGAAUGGAGCUUGCUCCCUGAUUUGACGACGGACGGAUGAGUGAUGCCUGUCAGUCUGCCUGGCUGUGGGGGACAACUUUUCGAAGGGAACGCUAAUACCGCCCACAUCCUACCGGAGAAAGCGGGGGAGCUUCCUUCCUUCCUCUAUCCAAUGAACCUACCUCGGAUUAACUAGUUGGUGGGGUAAUGGCUGACCCAGGCAACCAUCCAUACCUGGUCUGACAGGAAGAACAAUCACCCUGGAACUGACACACAGUCCAUACUCCUACCGGAGGCAGGAAUGGGGAAUAUUGGUUAAUGGGCGAAAGCCUGAUCCAUCCAUGCCUGGUGUGUGAAUAAGGACUUCCGAUUGUAUGGCACUUUAUUUUGGGAGGAAGGACAGUAUGUUAGUACCUUGCUGUUUUGACUUUACCGACUCAAUAAACACCGGCUAACUCUGUGCCGGCCGCCGCGGUAAUACAAAGGGUGGGUGCGUUAAUCGGAAUUACUGGGCGUAAAGCGCGCGUACGUGGUUUGUUAAGUUGGAUGUAAAAGCCCCGGGCUCACUCUGGGAACUGCCUGCAAAACUGGCUGAGCUAGAGUAUGGCUGAGGGUGGGGGGAAUUUCCUGUGUGUGCAGUGAAAUGCUUAGAUAUAGAUAAGGAACACCUACUGGCGAAGGCGACCACCCUGCACUGAUACUGACUAUGACUCAGCGAAAGCGUGCGUGAGCAAACAGAGAGUAGAUACACCCUGCUAGUCCACCCCGUAAACAGUGACAACUACCAGUUGGUAUCCUUGAUAUUUAGUGGCUGCA
rnacentral:rRNA from 1 species